GCACUGAAAGUGAGAGUUGGAGGAACGCAAACUGAUUGAUUCAAGGCCAAAAACAUCAUCACUGAAUCAGGUUGUUUUUCUCCAAUAUCUCACCUUCAGUUG
rnacentral:pre_miRNA from 1 species